rnacentral:rRNA from 1 species
UACGUAGGGGGCCAGCGUUGUCCGGAUUUAUUGGGCGUAAAGAGCGUGUAGGCGGCCAGGUAGGUCUGGUGUGAAAACUCGAGGCUCAACCUCGAGAUGUCAUCGGAAACCAUCUGGCUAGAGUCCGGAAGAGGAGAGUGGAAUUCCUGGUGUAGCGGUGAAAUGCGCAGAUAUCAGGAAGAACACCCGUGGCGAAGGCGGCUCUCUGGGACGGUACUGACGCUGAGACGCGAAAGCGUGGGAGCGAACAGG